AUAUUAAGGAGACUAUGGGUCUACAGAUGCAGUUCACUUGGCUAACCCCCAAAUUACAUAUCGAUAGAAUACGACAUAUAGAAGACUCCUUUUUUCCCUAGCAAUAUAUGCGAUUCUUCAUAGAAUCAUUCAGACAACCUUUAUUCUCAACAUCACGUCAACAACCAAUCUUCAUGAUUGUCAAUAUGCCAGACGAGUUUCACAAUAUCAGCUAUCCUGUAUUUCUGUCAUGUCUACUUCAGUUGGGAGACUCAAAAAUGCAAAUUAGAAAAUAAUAAUGGGAUCUUCAUCAAAAUGGCACCCAUUACCACACCACAUCAAGGAACUAGGUUUCGUUCCACUGCAAGCUAGAUAUGCUGAAUAAUUUGUUACGUCAACUAGGAUUAUAAUACCCUCCUACCUUUUGUGAAUACAAAGAAGGAAUGUCUCUUCAAAGUAGAAAACACAUAUCCCAGAUGACACCAUAUUACGGAUCAUAAUAUGAGGACAGAAAAGAGAAAGAAAGACAAAGAAACAUAGCUCCUGAGAGUCUGAGACUUUAGUUUCUAGGGUAUAUAAUACUUUAUACAAUCAUUUUUGCAGAUUUCAUUCAAUAGUGUAAUAAAAUAGCAACUUCUUGAUCCAGGUAGAAGGAGCAAUAGUGACAUCAACAUAAAGAUAAGCUACAAAGAAAUAGAAUACUCCUUAUAACAUUUCAAUACGUCAUGUCUCCUGAUACAUCAAAAAUUGCUGAUUUAGGUAUUAAACAGUUCAGGUGUCUACAAGCACAAGCACAAGCACAAGCACA
rnacentral:misc_RNA from 1 species